CGUCAACGGAGAUCGAGGGAGUCGAGGUGCUCCGCAGGAGGAAGAAGAAAAUGAAAAAGAAGAAGAAAAUGAAAAAGACCCGCGCGUGUUCUUCUCCGUCGGCAAAUGGUGUAAUGGUGUAAUAGUGUAAUGGCGUAAAUAGUGUAAUGGUGUAAUGAUGUAAUAGUAAUAGUGUAAUGGUGUAAUAGUAAUGAUGUAAUAGUGUAAUGGUAAUGGUAUAAUGGUGUAAUUCUAUCGCUCUUUUUUUUUUUCUCGCCG
rnacentral:lncRNA from 1 species